ACCACCGGCGGUAGCAUGUUGAAUGCACUAGUUCCCCACGAAAUUAAACAACUGAAGAUAGACAACGUUGCGCGUGGUUAAUACCUGUAUGGACCAUCUAUAGGGAAUCCACAUGCUGCUGGGU
rnacentral:rRNA from 1 species